CGUGAAUUGAUGGAAAUCUAUAACAGUAGUUUUGAAAUAAGAAACUUUCAUUGUUACCACUCAAAACAAUAAGCAUUCGGUUCUAAAACUACCCAUCUAUAUUAUGUAUUCAUGAUUCGCGUCAUAAAAUAUAUAAUAUUCUGACCUAUUCUGUAACCUAUUUUAGAACGCGUGAUGAUUACUAGCCAGGAAAUAAAAACUGCCAAUAUCGCGAUAAGUAACUAGC